GAUGAACGCUGGCGGCGUGCCUAAUACAUGCAAGUCGAGCGAAUGGAUUAAGAGCUUGCUCUUAUGAAGUUAGCGGCGGACGGGUGAGUAACACGUGGGUAACCUGCCCAUAAGACUGGGAUAACUCCGAGAAACCGGGGCUAAUACCGGAUAACAUUUUGAACCGCAUGGUUCGAAAUUGAAAGGCGGCUUCGGCUGUCACUUAUGGAUGGACCCGCGUCGCAUUAGCUAGUUGGUGAGGUAACGGCUCACCAAGGCAACGAUGCGUAGCCGACCUGAGAGGGUGAUCGGCCACACUGGGACUGAGACACGGCCCAGACUCCUACGGGAGGCAGCAGUAGGGAAUCUUCCGCAAUGGACGAAGGUCUGACGGAGCAACGCCGCGUGAGUGAUGAAGGCUUUCGGGUCGUAAAACUCUGUUGUUAGGGAAGAACAAGUGCUAGUUGAAUAAGCUGGCACCUUGACGGUACCUAACCAGAAAGCCACGGCUAACUACGUGCCAGCAGCCGCCGUAA
rnacentral:rRNA from 1 species